rnacentral:rRNA from 1 species
GACGAACGCUGGCGGCGUGCUUAACACAUGCAAGUCGAACGGAAAGGCCCUGCUUGCAGGGUACUCGAGUGGCGAACGGGUGAGUAACACGUGGGUGAUCUGCCCUGCACUUCGGGAUAAGCCUGGGAAACUGGGUCUAAUACCGGAUAGGAGCCAUUUUUAGUGUGAUGGUUGGAAAGUUUUUUCGGUGUAGGAUGAGCUCGCGGCCUAUCAGCUUGUUGGUGGGGUAAUGGCCUACCAAGGCGGCGACGGGUAGCCGGCCUGAGAGGGUGGACGGCCACAUUGGGACUGAGAUAAGGCCCAGACUCCUACGGGAGGCAGAAGUGGGGAAUAUUGCACAAUGGGCGCAAGCCUGAUGCAGCGACGCCGCGUGGGGGAUGACGGCCUUCGGGUUGUAAACUCCUUUCGCUAGGGACGAAGCUUUUUGUGACGGUACCUAGAUAAGAAGCACCGGCUAACUACGUG